UGAGUAAUCUGCCCUUCUCUUCGGAAUAAGCGUUGGAAACGACGUCUAAUGCCGAAUACGACCUCCUUUCGCAUGAUCGGAGGUGGAAAGCUCCGACGGUCUGGGAUGGGCCCGCGGCCUAUCAGCUUGUUGGUGGGGUAACGGCCUACCAAGGCGACGACGGGUAGCUGGUCUGAGAGGACGACCAGCCACACUGGGACUGAGACACGGCCCAGACUCCUACGGGAGGCAG
rnacentral:rRNA from 1 species